AACGAACGCUGGCGGCAUGCCUAACACAUGCAAGUCGAACGAGACCUUCGGGUCUAGUGGCGCACGGGUGCGUAACGCGGGGGAACCUGCCCUUAGGUUCGGAAUAACUCCCCGAAAGGGGUGCUAAUACCGGAUAAUGUCUUCGGACCAAAGAUUUAUCGCCUUUGGAUGGGCCCGCGUUGGAUUCGCUAGUUGGUAGGGUAAAAGCCUACCAAGGCGAGGAUCCAUGGCUGGUCUGAGAGGAUGAUCAGCCACACUGGGACUGCGACACGGCCCAGACUCCUACGGGAAGCAGCAGUGGGGAAUAUUGGACGAUGGGCGAAAGCCUGAUCCAGCAAUGCCGCGUGAGUGAUGAAGGCCUUAGGGUUGUAAAGCUCUUUUACCCGGGAUGAUAAUGACAGUACCGGGAGAAUAAGCACCGGCUAACUCCGUG
rnacentral:rRNA from 1 species